CUGCUAGCCAUGAUUCAAAACCUGAAGCUAGGAGUAUUUCUGUAAGUAUUAUUAUAUAUGGAUUUUAUCUUUAAGCAG
rnacentral:sRNA from 1 species